rnacentral:rRNA from 1 species
GACGAACGCUGGCGGCGUGCCUAAUACAUGCAAGUAGAACGCUGAAGAGAGGAGCUUGCUCUUCUUGGAUGAGUUGCGAACGGGUGAGUAACGCGUAGGUAACCUGCCUUGUAGCGGGGGAUAACUAUUGGAAACGAUAGCUAAUACCGCAUAACAAUAGGUGACACAUGUCAUUUAUUUGAAAGGGGCAAUUGCUCCACUACAAGAUGGACCUGCGUUGUAUUAGCUAGUAGGUGAGGUAACGGCUCACCUAGGCGACGAUACAUAGCCGACCUGAGAGGGUGAUCGGCCACACUGGGACUGAGACACGGCCCAGACUACUACGGGAGGCAGCAGUAGGGAAUCUUCGGCAAUGGGGGCAACCCUGACCGAGCAACGCCGCGUGAGUGAAGAAGGGUGUCGGAUCGUAAAGCUCUGUUGUAAGUCAAGAACGAGUGUGAGAGUGGAAAGUUCACACUGUGACGGUAGCUUACCAGAAAGGGACGGCUAACUACGUG